UUGACGGGGGCCCGCACAAGCGGUGGAGCAUGUGGUUUAAUUCGAUGCAACGCGAAGAACCUUACCUGGUCUUGACAUCCACGGAAGUUUUCAGAGAUGAGAAUGUGCCUUCGGGAACCGUGAGACAGGUGCUGCAUGGCUGUCGUCAGCUCGUGUUGUGAAAUGUUGGGUUAAGUCCCGCAACGAGCGCAACCCUUAUCCUUUGUUGCCAGCGGUCCGGCCGGGAACUCAAAGGAGACUGCCAGUGAUAAACUGGAGGAAGGUGGGGAUGACGUCAAGUCAUCAUGGCCCUUACGACCAGGGCUACACACGUGCUACAAUGGCGCAUACAAAGAGAAGCGACCUCGCGAGAGCAAGCGGACCUCAUAAAGUGCGUCGUAGUCCGGAUUGGAGUCUGCAACUCGACUCCAUGAAGUCGGAAUCGCUAGUAAUCGUGGAUCAGAAUGCCACGGUGAAUACGUUCCCGGGCCUUGUACACACCGCCCGUCACACCAUGGGAGUGGGUUGCAAAAGAAGUAGGUAGCUUAACCUUCGGGAGGGCGCUUACCACUUUGUGAUUCAUGACUGGGGUGAAGUCGUAACAAGGUAACCGUAGGGGAACCUGCGGUUGGAUCAC
rnacentral:rRNA from 1 species